AACCUCCGCAAUGUACGAAAGUGCGACGGGGGGAUCCCAAGUGUUAUGCUUAAAGGUAUGACUUUUCAUUAGUGUAAAAAGCUUUUAGAAUAAGAGCUGGGCAAGACCGGUGCCAGCCGCCGCGGUAACACCGGCAGCUCGAGUGGUAGCUGUUUUUAUUGGGCCUAAAGCGUUCGUAGCCGGUUUAAUAAGUCUUUGGUGAAAGCUUGUAGCUUAACUAUAAGAAUUGCUGGAGAUACUAUUAGACUUGAAGUCGGGAGAGGUUAGAGGUACUACCGGGGUAGGGGUGAAAUCCUAUAAUCCUGGGAGGACCACCUGUGGCGAAGGCGUCUAACUGGAACGAUCUUGACGGUGAGUAACGAAAGCCAGGGGCGCGAACCGGAUUAGAUACCCGGGUAGUCCUGGCCGUAAACGAUGUGGACUUGGUGUUGGAAUGGCUUUGAGUUGUUCCGGUGCCGAAGGGAAGCUGUUAAGUCCACCGCCUGGGAAGUCGGUCGCAAGAUUGAAACUUAAGGAAUU
rnacentral:rRNA from 1 species